CCUUCUUUGUUCUUUCUCGCUCUAUUGGAAGAUACCAUUAAAGAACAAGAUAGUGAAGGGUUUUUGGGGAUAAAAAAGGACGAAUUCAACAUCAAAUAUUCAUAAAACAUUGAGGUUCCGGUCAUUGAAGGCUCAUUGGAGACGACUGGAAGAAGGCUUGGAUAUUAUCUACCAUCCAAGUGGAUAGGUCCUCACAUUUUGAGAGCAAUGCCAAUAUCUAGCUUAUGGUUUUACUUUGUUUUCUAAGACUUAUGUUCACUCUAUUUUAAUUUGUGAACCAUUUUUAUAAUCCAAGAUGUGUUUUCUUUACAUAGAUGUAGGGCUAUUCCUAAGUUGCUAUGAUCAUUUAGAUGGUAUGAGAUGAGACAAUCUUUAAGA